rnacentral:rRNA from 1 species
CCCUUAGAUGUUCUGGGCCGCACGCGUGCUACACUGAGUGGAUCAGCGGGUCAGGUUGCGCGAAAGCGUUUCCUAAUCUUUAAAUCCGCUCGUGAUGGGGAUUGACGGUUGCAAUUUUCUGUCAUGAACGAGGAAUACCUUGUAAGCGCGGGUCAUCAUCCCGCGCUGAAUACGUCCCUGCCCUUUGUCACACCGCCCGUCGCUCCUACCGAUUGAGUGGUCCGGCGAGGCUUUGGGAUCUGAGCGGAAAGAGCGUUUCGCUGUUUCUGCUCGGAAAACUCAGUCGAACCUUAUCAUUUAGAGGAAGGAGAAGUCGUAACA